rnacentral:lncRNA from 1 species
UUUUUAUUUUUUUGUUUUUUGUUUUGAAUAAUAAUUCUAUUUUCAUGUGAAGUUUGAUUAUUAAUUGAGAAAGGCAAUUUUAAAAGUAAUUUUUCUUGUCAUCAAAGAUAGGGCAAUAGGUGCUUAAACAGAUUAUUAAAAUUAUACACAAAUUAUGAAGUCGCUUUCAGUGCCCCCUGCCCAGAGGAGACCAUGAAUGCAGGCCUCCAUUAUUAGAAAUUGUACAUUUGAGUUUCCCACAUUUCCUAAGUGCAAUGUGUGAGCCUCAUCCUGCAAGAACCACCUUGGUGAUCAUUUAGUAUCUCCUCUGCUAGGUAAGUAUCACUUUCAGUUUCUUUCUUUCUUUUUUUUCUUUUUAAGAUUUUAUUUAUUUAUUUGAGAGAAAGAGAGAGAGGGAGAAGCGUGCUCCUUGCUGAGCAGGGAACCCGACGACAUGGGACUCGAUCCCAGGAACCUGGAAUCAUGCAUGACCUGAGUCGAAGGCAGAUGCUUAACUCGCUGAGCCCCCCAGACACCCCUCACUUUCAGUUUCUUGUACAACUUCAUAAGAUACAAGGGUGCCUCGUGGCUCAGGUCAUGAUCCCAGCAUCCUGGGAUGGAGUCCCACAUAGGGUCCCUGCUCAGCUGGGAGUCUGCUUCUCCUUUGGUCCCUCACCCUGCUGUGCCCUCUCUCUUGUUCUCAAAUAAAUAAAUAAAAUCUUUUUUCUUUUUAAGAUUUUAUUUGUUUAUUCAUAAGAGAAAGAGAGAGAGAGGCAGAGACACAGGCAGAGGGAGAAGCAGGCUCCAUGCAGGGAGCCCGACGUGGGACUCGAUCCCGAAUCACCAGGAUCAGGCCCUGGGCGGAAGGCGGCGCUAAACCGCUGAGCCACCCCGGCUGCCCCAAUAAAUAAAAUCUUAAAAGAAAAAAACAACCUCACAAGAUACAGAAAAUGUGAGAGGAAAUAUUAAAAUGUCACUGUAUAAACUUACUAUAAAAUUAAUUCAGGCAUAUGUGAAAUUGAUUUUUCAAAGACUUAAAUCUUUUGACAAAUUGUUACAUAAGAAUCAUCAACUCGGGGAUCCCUGGGUGGCGCAGCGGUUUGGCGCCUGCCUUUGGCCCAGGGCGCGAUCCUGGAGACCCGGGAUCGAAUCCCACGUCAGGGUCCUGGUGCAUGGAGCCUGCUUCUCCGUCUGCCUAUGUCUCUGCCUCCCUCUCUCUCUGUGUGUGUGACUAUCAUAAAUAAAUAAAAUAAAAAAUCAUCAGCUCUAAAUGUACUAAUUAUAACAAAAUAUAUUUCUUUGCAACUUUAAGUUUACGAUGUUACUCCUGUAACCCCUAUUUCAUUUGAAAAGGAAUCAAAUAUUUUGAAAGGAAAAAAAUUAUUUUAGUACUCUGACAGAACUUUUUCUUUUUUCUUUAUUGCUGUCUGUGAGUAGGCUUCACAUCCAGUGUGGAGUUUAACUCAGGGGUUGAACUGAGGAUCCUGAGAUUAAGACCUGAGCUGAGAUAAAGAGUUGGAUGUUUUGCUGACUGAGCCACUCAGGGGCCCCUUUUUUCUGCUUUUUGAAUAAGAGGACCCAAAAAUUAUGUAGGGGCUCUGAUUCUGAAAACUAGUAUUUCUUUGAGAGGAUUUUCAUAUUUCCCCAAAUUAUUCUGACUCUGUUAAAACACUUUCAGGCUGAUUUCUGUCAAGUCCAAGAAAUGGUCCUCGUAUCAUCAUGUUUUAAAAACCCACAUCGGGAUCCCUGGGUGGCGC